AAUGAACGCUAGCUACAGGCUUAACACAUGCAAGUCGAGGGGUAACAAGGGGAAAGCUUGCUUUCCUUGUUGACGACCGGCGCACGGGUGAGUAACGCGUAUCCAACCUGCCUAUAACUAGGGAAUAACCUUGCGAAAGUAAGACUAAUACCCUAUGAUUUCCUUUGAUGACAUCAGAUUAGGAAUAAAGAUUUAUCGGUUAUAGAUGGGGAUGCGUCUGAUUAGCUUGUUGGCGGGGUAACGGCCCACCAAGGCAACGAUCAGUAGGGGUUCUGAGAGGAAGGUCCCCCACAUUGGAACUGAGACACGGUCCAAACUCCUACGGGAGGCAGCAGUGAGGAAUAUUGGUCAAUGGGCGGAAGCCUGAACCAGCCAAGUAGCGUGCAGGAUGGCGGCCCUAUGGGUUGUAAACUGCUUUUAUACAGGAAUAAAGUUAGCCACGUGUGGUUAUUUGUAGGUACUGUAUGAAUAAGGACCGGCUAAUUCCGUGCCAGCAGCCGCCGUAA
rnacentral:rRNA from 1 species